rnacentral:rRNA from 1 species
UGCGCAGGCGGACCUAUUAGUCAGUGGUGAAAUCCCGGGGCUCAACUCCGGAACUGCCAUUGAUACUGUAGGUCUUGAGUUUGGUUGAAGUGGGCGGAAUGUAGCAUGUAGCGGUGAAAUGCGUAGAUAUGCUACAGAACACCGAUCGCGAAGGCAGCUCACUAAACCAAAACUGACGCUCAGGCACGAAAGCGUGGGUAGCGAACAGGAUUAGAUACCCUGGUAGUCC